CCUGCAUCUCGGGAUCACGGCAAUAGUGGCUGGACAUGGUCCAGAUGUGACGAAGCCCAACCAUGAUGUUGGGGAUCUGCAGCACCACCAUCUUAAAGCUCUCAUAGCUUCGUACUUUCUGUUUAGGUUAGGGUUACAAUUAAGAUAAGUGAGCAACAAUAAAUUAACAAGGCCUACGAAAAUUAAGCACUAAUGUUUCGGUUCCGAAAGGAACACGCUCUUGAGCGAACCACUAGUUCCAAACCGAAAUCAAAGUUCCAGUUAGCGUUGUUUUUUAGUUUCCAACGUCUUGGAUCUGCUGCAAAACGUGGAAGUAUAAAACUCACCUCCAGAUAAUCUAUGAUGGUUCCUAAGUAGUCAGAGUUUUCCUUGGCCAGCUUGAAGCGAGCCUCUGUCUUUUCGACAACAGCUUGCCACUCAUCAAGCACUGGGGA